rnacentral:rRNA from 1 species
AGGGAAGAAGGCCCUGCGGGUCGCAGACCUCUUUGGACGGGGAGCAAGGCCGCGGACGUGUCCGCGGAAGGAGAGUACCCGUAGAACAAGCAUCGGCUAACUCCGUGCC